UGCCUACGGGACGCAGCAGUGGGGAAUAUUGCACAAUGGGGGAAACCCUGAUGCAGCAACGCCGCGUGAAGGAAGACGGUUUUCGGAUUGUAAACUUCUGUUCUUAGUGAAGAAGAAUGACGGUAGCUAAGGAGCAAGCCACGGCUAACUACGUGCCAGCAGCCGCGGUAAUACGUAGGUGGCAAGCGUUGUCCGGAUUUACUGGGUGUAAAGGGAGCGUAGGCGGCAGCGCAAGUCUGGAGUGAAAUGCCGGGGCCCAACCCCGGAACUG
rnacentral:rRNA from 1 species